rnacentral:rRNA from 1 species
CGGUUGAUCCUGCCGGAGGUCACCGCUAUCCGGAUUCGACUAAGCCAUGCGAGGCGAGAGUCAUUCGUGACUCGCCGAACUGCUCAGUAACCCGUAGUUAACCUACCCUAAAGUGCGGGAUAAUCCCGGGAAACUGGGGCUAAUACCGCAUAGCUGUUGGGUGCUGGAAUGCCCCAACAGCCAAAGUUCGACGCUUUAGGAUGGGAUUGCGGCCCAUUAGGUUGUUGUGAGUGUAAAAUACUCACAAACCUAUAACGGGUAGAGGCCACGAGAGUGGGAGCCUCGAGAUGCCUUCUGAGACAUGAAGGCAGGUCCUACGGGACGCAGCAGGCGCGAAAACUUUCCAAUGCCCUAACGGGUGAGAAGGGGACCUGGAGUGGUUAUACAAUGUAUAACCUUUUGUUUUGCCUAAAGAGCAAGACGAAUAAGUGGUGGGUAAGACGGGUGGCAGCCGCCGCGGUAAUACCCGCGCCACGAGUGGUGACCGCGGUUAUUGGGUCUAAAGCGUCCGUAGCCGGUUUAGCAAGUUCUCAGUGAAAUCUGCUAGCUAACUAGCAAGCUUGCUGAGAAUACUGCUAAACUUGGGAUCGGAAGAGGGUAGAGGUACUCCAUGGGUAGGAGUUAAAUCCUUUAAUCCAUGGAGGACCACCGGUGGCGAAGGCCUCUACCUUGGACGAAUCCGACGGUGAGGGACGAAAGCUAGGGGAGCAAAUCUAAUCCUUCGAUAAAAGGAUGAGAGCUCAAACGGGAUUAGAUACCCCGGUAGUCCUAGCUGUGAACGAUGCCCGCUUGACAUUGCAAACUCUACGGGAGUUUGCAGUGUCGGAAUGUAGAUGUUAAGCGGGCCACCUGGGGAGUACGGCCGCAAGGCUGAAACUUAAAGGAAUUGGCGGGGGAGCAC